UGGGGAAUUUUGGACAAUGGGCGAAAGCCUGAUCCAGCAAUGCCGCGUGUGUGAAGAAGGCCUUCGGGUUGUAAAGCACUUUUGUCCGGAAAGAAAUCCUUGGCUCUAAUACAGUCGGGGGAUGACGGUACCGGAAGAAUAAGCACCGGCUAACUACGUGCCAGCAGCCGCGGUAAUACGUAGGGUGCAAGCGUUAAUCGGAAUUACUGGGCGUAAAGCGUGCGCAGGCGGUUUGCUAAGACCGAUGUGAAAUCCCCGGGCNCAACCUGGGAACUGCAUUGGUGACUGGCAGGCUAGAGUAUGGCAGAGGGGGGUAGAAUUCCACGUGUAGCAGUGAAAUGCGUAGAGAUGUGGAGGAAUACCGAUGGCGAAGGCAGCCCCCUGGGCCAAUACUGACGCUCAUGCACGAAAGCGUGGGGAGCAAACAGGAUUAGAUACCCUGGUAGUCCACGCCCUAAACGAUGUCAACUAGUUGUUGGGGAUUCAUUUCCUUAGUAACGUAGCUAACGCGUGAAGUUGACCGCCUGGGGAGUAC
rnacentral:rRNA from 1 species